rnacentral:piRNA from 1 species
UACCUACAAGUAGAGUGAGUGUGAGU